rnacentral:lncRNA from 1 species
UGAGUCAAACUCUCCUAAUAUAGCUUAAAUAUGCUCACAUUAUCCUGAUUUACUGUUAAGACUCCUACUAUGUAAAUAAUUUGUGUCUGUGUCUCACGGCUUAUCUUAUGGACAGAGGAUGGCUGUCUCCUCCCGUAAACAAAAUGUAGAGAGGAUCAACUUCAGCAUCUGCAUAGAGUGGGCCAGAGUCGGUCCAGCCAGGCUUGUCCCCUAAGCUGCUGUUCUAUGUAAUUUGCAGUCAGUUAGAAUAGGCUGCAACCUGGCCUCUAGACCCUUCCUAAAGGUUCUAGCACCUUCCAACACACCAUCGACUAGGGCCUAGUAUCUAACAGAUGGGCCUUGAAACUCACCCGGAUCCUAGCUCAAAUGGAGUACAAUGUGUGAAGCAGGCACAGGCUGGAAGGCGUGCGUGGUGGCAGGCACGGCUCUCACUGUGGCUAGAGCAUACUUCCAUCUGUCGUAGCCUAGAAAUCUAAAGACAAGCAUGUCCCAAAUCCAGGCGCUCUCCCCACUCCCACACCAUGUUUCCCUGCCCCAGUGGAGGAGUCUAUGCUGUAGACAGUUCUUUCUAUAGCCUUCUCUCCCUGAAGGAGUGAAUCAGGACUAGAAUGGCCAAAGGGCAGGAAGCAACAGGGAGAAAGAGAACGGAAGCGUGGAUCAUGUUUAAUUCAUAAACCAAAUAAUCUCUCGCCCUUGGCAAUGUGCAGGAUACUUCUCACCCUGCAGUAGGUGGCUCUUUCAGGAAAACAAGUCGUGUUUAAUUGCAUUUAUAUUUACUGGGCACCCAUUAGUUAGCCACUGUAUUGGAGACCGCAGGCAUAUCAAAAAGAUAAAAGUCAAAUCUUCAGGAAUCCUAUGGUAUAAGAUGCUACUUGAACAUAAGAUAGCAGGGGCCAGCAGUGCAGAUUCACUUUUGUUAUUGAUGAGGAGACAGGCACUCUACUACCGAGCUGCAUCUCCAGUCCCAAGGACAUGUUUGAUUGGGGACAUUACAAAUGUCACAUUCAUGUGUGCAUUUUAACACACUAAAGUGAGGAGAAACAUGGCUAGCCCAGCCCAUCAGGACCUUUAGGCUUGUCUGUGGAGUAUGAGCUUUGGGAAGUGUGAAGAUGUGCUGAGUACCUGACUAGCCUCCUGCUUGGAUCUGGGUGGGGACUUAGGAGCAGGUGAACACUGAGAAAGCAGUUGCUGGUAGGGACCAGGGUUUUUGUGUCCCAGACCGUGGCAGGAAAUUCUUGCCCAAGACCAGAGAUUGCAACAAGUUGAGCCUUAGCUUACCUGAGUGAACCACACGGAGCUGGGAAUUGAUGC